GGGUUUGGAUUUCUGGAAGCAGUAGAUUAGAUCUAUUGCUUUACUAGUUUUCAUGUACAUCAUGCAGAUUUUAUUGUUCAAAUUUUUUACAUGCGCAUAUACAUGCCACAGAUCCAUAUGUAGGGUGUUUUAUGAUUAGAUCAUGUGCUUACAUUACAGAUUAAAAGGUUUAAUCUGAGUUUAUUCUACUACAAAAUUUUCAAAAUACAUGCAUGAAAUCCUUACGAUUUUCCAACACAUGCAUGCAGCAAUCAGAGCAUGCAAAUUUUUAACUUUUAAAAAUCAUGGACAUAGUAGAGCAAAAGACUCUGAUUGAGAUUAAAUAUUUUAAUCUAUCUAAUAUGCAUUAAGUAGAUCUAAUCUACAGCUAACAGGAUCGAUCAUGUGCAUUUUAAAAUGCUGAAAAUAAAAUUAGAUUUAAAUAAAAAUAAAAAAGCAGAGAUCUGAUCUUCAUACCUUUGUGCGGUAAGCCUUUCAAUGCAAUCUGAUGAUUGUGAUAACU
rnacentral:lncRNA from 1 species